AUAUAAUAUAUAGGUUAGGUUAGUGAAAUGCAGGUAUAUGAGCCAGAUAUUAUAAGAACAGAGAAGCACAUCAAGUCGGUUUUUGAGGGAGAAAGCUUACCAGCACAGACUGACAGAUGCACAGCUGCAAGGACACCAGACAGGGGAGAUAGUUUCCAAACAAGUGGAAAAUAGGGCAGACAUCUCUUGAGGGAGGAAGACAACAAGAGACUUCAGAAGGGGUGGAUCCAACAAAAUCCAGUUUCCUCUCAAACUUACUUACCACGUCAGACAUUCCUCCUUUGGAGAGACUACUUGAGGAGUGACAAAGGCCAUAAAACGUUGGGCACAGGAUUUUAGCUUCUAUCAGAAAAUACUAUCACAGACAAACAACAAGCAAACCAAAACUUCAGACGCAUGCUGGGGAGGCUACAGAAGGAAUGAAGUCUUUACACUCAGGAGCAAAAAGGCAUCCAGAUGGAAGAACACCAUGUGAACAUGAAGACAACCACCUACAAGCCAAAGAGAGAGGCCUCAGAGGAAACAACCAUGCUAACAUCUUCUUAUACUCUAGCCCCAAGAAAUGUGAGAAAAUAAAUUUCUGUUGUUUAAGCCAUUCUGUUCAAUCUGUGGUAGUUUGUUAUUGCAGCCUUAGCAGAUUAAUACAGUGAUAAAAGCAAAAACUGUAUCAAUAUAUAUAGCAGUGGCUUUCAAAUUUUCAAUAUAUAUAUAGCAGUGGCUUUCAAAAUUUCAAAUUUUUCACAAUCUACAAUAUGAAAUUAAUUUUACCACUCUACCCAGUAUGCAUAGACAGACAUAGCUGGAACAAAGAACAAAAUUUUUUCUUGCUAAUGUAUGUUGAUAUUUUUACUUGUUUGAUUGUAUUCCAUCAUUUCAUAUUAAGAAAGACACAAUAACUGAUUUUGCAACUGAUGAACUGGCCAAAUGUUAAAAAAUGCUAGAUAAGAAAUACUAUUAUUUGUUAAAACAACAACAAAGGCCCCAGCAAACUAGAUUCUUUGGAUAGAGGCAGAAGGGGCAUUUGUGAGCAUCUAUUUUUUAACUUUUUUUUUUUCCAAAAUAAAAUCUUAUGAGAAAAUCCAAUGUAUCAAACAGAUAAAUGCUGAGUUACUUUGGUAGACAGUGGUGGGGAGAGAAGUGGAGCCUUCCUACUUAUCCCUGACAGCCCUGAUGCAGCUCAACAGCACCAAUGGCUCUUGGGUACAGGACUUAAAAACCAAAUAUUUAUUCCACUCCUCUCAUUAUUUAGAAAGGGGGACAUUGGGGUAAGGGACAAAGCUGUUAGGAGGGCCAGGUGCAGUGGCCCAUACCUGUAAUCCCAACACUUUGGGAGGCUGAGGUGAGAGGAUCACUUGAGCCCAGGAGUUCUAGAUCAGCCUGGGCAACAUAGAAGACCCUGUCUCUAUAAAAAUUUUUUUUAAAUUUAAAAAAUUUGAAAGAUGUUAGGUGAUAUGGUUUGUGUCCCCACCCAAAUCUCAUCUUGAAUAGUAGCUCCCAUAAUUCCCACAUGUGUGGGAGGGACCAGGUAGGAGGUAAUUGAAUCGUGGGGACAGUUUGCCCCAUACUGUUCUUGUGAUAGUGACUAAGUCUCACAAGUUCUGAUGAUUUUUAUAGGGAGUUUCCCCUUUUGCUUGGCUCUCAUUUCUUCCUUGCUUGCUGCCAUGUAAGACAUACCUUUUCUCCUUCUGUGAUGAUUGUGAGGCCUCCCCACCCAUGUGGAACUGUGAGUCCAUUAAACCUCUUUUUCUUUAUAAAUUACCCAGUCUCGGGUAUGUCUUUAUCAGCAGCGUGAAAACAGACUAAUACAUUAGGAGAUUGAGAUUGCAAGUUCUAAGCGAGGAUUGUAUAGAUAUAGAUGUACCAUCAUUCUUCAAUAAUUGGGGAAGUGAGAAUCUCAAAUAUAAAAGAGGUCCAUCAAUAACAUCCAUCUCUUCUUUCCAUUAAAAUAAGAAAUAUAAAAGUAGAAAUAAUGCUUGGUAAAUGUGACACAUCUCCAGUAGGCUCAUAUACUAACUUAAAUCUUGUGCUGUUCCAUUGCCCUCUGCUGGAUGUUCUUAGUAUCUGUGGCCUCAAAACUAGAAGUUCUAGUAGUGGUAGUAGUCACAGCAAUAGUGAUUAUUAUCAUUAUUGUCAUUUUAGCAGCAGCCAUGUUGAGGUCAAGCACUGUGCCACAUGCUUUACAUCCAAAUCCUCCUAACAACUCUAUGGCUAGAUAAUGCUCUCUCAUUUUGUAGAUGUGGAACCUGGGGGUUCAGAGGUAAAUAAACAAACCAAGGUUACACAACUAAAAGUAAGAGACCCGGGAAUUAAAUAUUGGUUCUAAAGCCUAGGCCUUAAUUACUUGCUGUUCAUUAAACUUUCAAUCUGUCAGCUGUGUUGGUGAUAAAACUGGAAUGAUAUUACUAGUUGGGAUCUUUUGAUUCACUGAUUAUUAACAAUGGAAUCACAACGAUCUUUAUUCUAAAAAGCCAAAAAUUAUUAUCUUCCUAAAAUUACCAAAAAGGAAAAGCUUACUCCUCAACAGAGCAGGAGAGCAUGUUUUCAGAGUUUCUCAAAGUGUGAUUCAGGAAACUCCUGCAUUGGAAUCACAUGAGGUGCUACUUCAGGGCAGAAAAUCCUAUGCACCAGGAUGUAUUUUGGAGGUAGAGAGGACAGAGCUUGUUCCUGAGAGCUGGGAUAUGUGUUAGUGGAGUGAGUGUAGAGAGAAAGAGGAACAAAAGAUGGCUCCUAAAAUUUUUGGCUCAGGACAAAUUUUGAGGAGAGUAGUGGCAUUAACUGAGAUGAGAAAGAUUAUUAGAGGAGCAAGGGUUUUAAUUGUUAGUUCAGUUGUGGCAGUUACUUUUUUGGCAGCAGAUAUAAAACCAGGAGUUUGGGUUUAGAUAUUAUAUUUAUGUUGCCAUAUAGGUAACCAAAUAAAAAUGGUAGAGCUAACUACAAAUAACUUUUAAAAAUUCAGAUCUAUAUUUAAGAUCUAUUCAUGUUGUUUCACGUGUAUCUCUUUCUAAUUGCUGCAUAAUCCUUUGUAAGUCUAUCAGUAGUAAGAGACCAGAUUACUUCCAACUCCCGCCACCACAACCAACACAGCAGUGAGCAUCCUCCUAUACAAUCCUUUAAGGUCCUCUGCAUGUAUUCUUUUGUGGUAUAAACUCAGGAGUGAGGUAUACUCAAUUGGAUUCGAUACUGCCAGGUUACUCCCUAAAAUGGCUGUGCUGGUCUAUACCCUAUCAGCAGUGCACAAGAGUUCCUCUACCUUCACAUUUCUUUGAAUGCUAAUAACUAUCCAGCCUAAUUUUUCACUAGAUAAAGAGGCAUCUUAUUGUUUUAAUACAUAUCUCUCUGAUAAGUUUGAGUAUCUUUACACACUCGUUGGACUUUUGGGUUUCUGUAAAUUGCCUAUUAAUAUUUCAUUGUUUUUCUUUCUUUGCCAUGUGAUAACUACAUAUUUAUGGGAUAUAUAGUAGUAUUUCAAUAUAUGUAUACAAUGUGUAAUGAUCAAGUCAGGGUAAUUAAGCAUAUUCAUUAUCUCAAACAUUUAUGAUGUGAACAUUCAAAAUAAAAAUCCUCUCUUCUAGCUUUUUAAAAAAUACACAAUAUUUCCCUUACAGUGCUACAGAACACUAGAACUUAUUCCUCCUCUUUAGCUAUAAUUUCGUAUCUGUUAACGAACUUCUCCGUAUCCUCUCCUCCCCACUACUCUUCCUUCCCCACUACUCUUCCUUCCCCACUACCCUUCCCAGACUCUAAAAACCACAAUUAUACUCUCUAUGAGCUCUUUUUUGUUUUUUUGGCUCCUACAUAUGAGUGAGAACAUGUGGUGUUUAUCCUUCUGAGCCAUCUUAUUUCAGUUAACAUGCCCUCCAGGUUCAUCCAUGUUGCCACAAAUUAGAAGAUUUCAUUCUUUUUUAUGGCCAAGUAGAAUUCCAUUUUGUGUAUAUACACCACCUUAUCCAUUCAUCUUUUGAUGGACAUUUCAUAUCUUGACUAUUUUUAACAGUGCUACAAUAAACAUGAAGGUGCAGGAAUCUCUCUGAUACAUAGAUUUUCUUUCCUCCGGAUAAAUACCCAGUAGUGAGAUUGCUGGACUUUCUUAGCACUCAUGUUAAAAAUCAUUUGAACAUAUAGGUGAGAAGUUAUUCCUGGGCUCAAAAACAAACAAACAACAACAGACAACAGAUAAGGAUACAGCAUGGGCCGGGCACGGUUGCUCACGCCUGUAAUCCCAGCACUUUGUGAGGCUGAGGUGCGUGGAUCACCUGAGGUCAAGGGUUCAAGACCAGCCUGACCGACAGGGAGAAACCCCCGUCUCUACUAAAAAUACAACAUUAACUGGGCGUGCUAGCGCAUGCCUGUAAUCCCAGCUACUCAGGAGGUGGAGGCAGGAGAAUCGCUUGAACCCAGGACGCAGAGGUUGCAGUGAGCCAAGAUCGCACCAUUACACUCCAGCCUGGGCAACAAGAGUGAAACUCUGUCUCAAAAAAACAAAAACAAAAAACCAGCAUGAUUUCAGGAGCAGAAAGAGAAUAACUUAAAAACCAGCAUAAUGAGAAAGUUAGGAAGCUUCUUACCAAAGCAUCUGGAAGUAUGCAAGAAAUUCUUGUGAACUAAAAUUUUCGUGCUGUACUAGCAAACACUACAACUCACUUAUUCCAUCUUUCUGUAUUUUGGGACCCAAUUAUCCACUUCUCUUCAUUCCCUAUCCCACCCCUUUUCUUCCUAGCGUCUGCUAACCACCUUUAUACUCUCCACCUUCCUGAGAUUCCUUUUGUGUGUAUGUGUGUGAUGGAGUCUCUUUCUGUUGCCCAGGUUGGAGUAUACAGGCACAAUCCGGGCUCACUGCAACCUCUGCCUCCAGAGUUCAAGGGAUUCUUGGGCCUCAGCCUCCCGAGUAGCUGAGACUACAGGCACGCGUCACCACGCAUGGCUAAUUUUUUGUGUUUUUAGUAGAGACGGGGUUUCACCAUGUUGGUCAGGCUGGUCUCGAACUCCUGGCCUCAAGUGAUCCGUGCAACUCGGCCUCCCAAAGUGCUGGGAUUACAGGCCUGAGCCACCACACCUGGCCAAGAUUUUCUUUUUUGUUCCUACAUGUAAGUGAGGACAUGUAAUAUUUGUCAUUCUGUUCCUGGCUUAUUUCACUUAAUAUACAGACCUGAAAUCUCAUCCAUUUUUUCUGCAGUGGAGAGGAUUUUAGUCCUUUUUAGGCUGAAUAAUACUUCAUUGUAUGUGUAUACCAGUUUAAUUGACACAAAUUUCUAAAAAGCAAAUAUUUUUAAAAUGUCUCAGAAUGUGAAACUUUAGGGAUACUGUGCCCAUUUUAUUCUUUUCUAUUUCCCAUUUUAUGGAUAUGCAAGUGUAUAAUAAAACAGCAAUCAAUGGGUGUAUAAAUCUAUAACUUCAACAAAUGUAAAAUGAAAAUGCUAAGUGGUGGCUGGGCGCUGUUGCUCACACCUGUAAUCCCAGCACUUUGGGAGGCCGAAGCGGGCGGAUCACCUGAGGUCGGGAGUUCAAGACCAGUCUGACCAACAUGGAGAAACAGUCUGUACUAAAAAAAAAAAAAAAAAAAAAAAACAAAGUAGCUGGGUGUGAUAGUGCAUGCCUGUAAUCCCAGCUACUUGAAAGGCUAAGAGAGGAGAAUCGCUUGAAUACGGGAGGCAGAGGUUGCAGUAAGCCGAUAUCAUGCCAUUGCACUCCAGCCUGGGCAACAACAGUGAAACUCUGUCUCAAAAAAAAAAAAAAAGAAAAAAGAAAAAAGAAAAAAAGAAAAUGCCAAAUGGUAAGAAAAAACAGCAUAAUAAAAAUUUGUAUGGUGUUGAAGAACAAUGCAUUUGAAGAUAAUAUUUGAAGAAAUCAUAUUACAAUUAACUUCUGUUCUUACUCAUUGGUUUGAUGCCUCUAAAAACUUCAUCACUGGAACCACCUCUGGUGCUUUAAAAAAAAAAAAAAAAAAAAAAAAAAAAAUCCGCAUACCCACACAGGUGCAAGUAAAUCAGAAUCUCAGGUCAUGAGACCCAGGCCUCAUCAUUUGUAAGUGCCCCGGGUGAUUUGAUUCAAAGCCAAGAUUGAGGACCCGUGACAUGGAUCUCUACACAUAAUCUGCCUAAAUAGAUUCUCUACAAGCAGUUUAUAAAGAAGUUCCACAUGAACUCUGGAAGAGGAUAUGAAUUUGAUGUACAGUAUGUGCUCACUUAACAUCUUUGAAAGUCUCUUGGAAACUUCACCUUUAAGCAAAAUUAUGGAUAGUGAAACCACUUAUUCCUCAUCAACAUUACAACUAAACAACUUUGAACAAAACAAUGGUGUUGGAGGACCGGCUGUACAUUGUUUCUAUAAAGUCAAUUUUCAGGGAAUUCCAAAAUGAAGUGAGGACUUCCUGUAUAUAAAAAGAUGGUUGUGAUUCCACAUGGAUGACAGGGUUAUUGCUCAGAAACUAAAGGAGGCCGCCCAGGUAUAGAGGAUUCAGUCAUGAGGUUUAUGCUACACAAAAGAUCCCAGAAUACUCACCCAUUCCAGUCAAAGACAUAAUGAAAAAAGCAAUAUUCACAUAGG
rnacentral:lncRNA from 10 species